rnacentral:rRNA from 1 species
UACGGGGGGGGCAAGCGUUGUUCGGAAUUACUGGGCGUAAAGGGCUCGUAGGCGGCCAACUAAGUCAUACGUGAAAUCCCUCGGCUUAACCGGGGAACUGCGUCUGAUACUGGAUGGCUUGAGUUCGGGAGAGGGAUGCGGAAUUCCAGGUGUAGCGGUGAAAUGCGUAGAUAUUAGGAAGAACACCGGUGGCGAAGGCGGCCCACUGGUCCGGUACUGACGCUGAGGUGCGAAAGCGUGGGGAUCAAACAGG